ensembl:lncRNA
AGUGACAAAUAUAGCCACCCUUCUUUUUAAUAACUGCCAUGAGUGUAAAGCUCACGUUUGAGAAGAGUAAAAAAGAUCUCAAUAGGAUUUAAGUCAGGUAAGGAAGGGGGCCAUGUCAUUAUUCUGGCAUCUUUGAGGCCCUUGCUUGCUAGCCAAGCAGUGGCCCAGAUAGCACACAUACGUUUUGCCGAUGUCAGCAUAAGAUCGGAAGAUCGAAAGCGGUUUAGAGCGUCGAGGGGAGGUCGACUGUACGCGUGAACGACGGAAAGAAAUGUGUGGCCAGGAAAUGGGUCUGAGAUGGGCGGUUCCAUGCGUUAACGCUGUACAAUGCUGCACAGUUUUUUCCAUGGCCAUUUAUUUCCUGACCAAAGUCCGAUACAGACCUUAUCCGGCGACAAGAUAUUUUUGUUACAAAAUCAUUUUCAUAGAACAUAAGAUUGUUCAAAUCUCCCCACAACCAGGAUGGAAGCAAUACCCAGCACCAGUACUCUUUGAAACAGAAUAUCUUCACAAGAUUACAGAGCAGUGGGAGAAGUCAUGUGUGACAUCAGACCUCAACACUAACUAGGAGCAAGAAUGCCAAAGCGACAGACAACUUAUCAAACUUUGGUCGUCCUCCUCCUCAACAUCUUCAUCUUCCUUCCAACACCUCUCAACUUUUCCACUAAAAAGUCUCUAACCAUCCAGAUCCAAGUUCCAGACCAGACCAUCAUCUGAAAGGAAUUAACUUAAAUUGACAUGGUGAUUAACCUACCACAACACAGCGAGUUGGAGGCCAGGAGUGGAGGUCCAACCUACAACUUCAAGUCAAAUGGAAGAAAGUAACACUCUUGGAACUCCAAGACCUUGUUUUCAGACCUGUGAGCAACGUGUCCCACCCAACUCUACAGUACUUGUUGUUCAAUAUUAUAAAUAAAAUGACGGCAGGGUCGUUUGGAAAGACUUUGCACCUACUUCAAACACCUGAUUCAACUAAAAUGUUAAAGUAGUAUGACAACCCCUAACAGUACGAGUGUGCAGUUUUAAUGCUUUGUUUGCAUUUCAGACCUCAAAGUUGUCCUCAACCGGGGACAGAAUGUUAAGCAAACCGUGUGGUAUGUGUUCGAGAAGGUCUUCACACUGGACUUUGCAACCCAACUGAACUGGUUUCGGGAGGGGGCAGAAGACUGUCAUCUGGUCAAUGCAACUGAAAGAUGCUAUUUUGUGUUCUGUUCUUUAAAACCCACGUUUGCCAGGAAUUACUGAGUUCGAGGUUGAAAGGGCGGGGACGGCAGCUGGAGAGAGAGACCUGCGGAAGAAGAGGACGAUUAAUUUGUAGCCUAUAUAAUGCACAGUUCUAUAUCGUGAAGCUUUGCC